CCUACGGGAGGCAGCAGUGGGGAAUAUUGGACAAUGGGGGAAACCCUGAUCCAGCGACGCCGCGUGAGUGAAGAAGUAUUUCGGUACGUAAAGCUCUAUCAGCAGGAAAGAAAAUGACGGUACCUGACUAAGAAGCCCCUGCUAACUACGGGCCAGCAGCCGCGGUAAUACGUAGGGGGCAAGCGUUAUCCGGAUUUACUGGGGUAAAAGGGAGCGUGGACGGCAGCGCAAGUCUGGAGUGAAAUGCCGGGGCCCAACCCCGGAACUGCUCUGGAAACUGUGAAGCUUGAGUGCAGGAGAGGUAAGCGGAAUUCCUGGUGUAGCGGUGAAAUGCGUAGAUAUCAGGAGGAACACCGGCGGCGAAGGCGGCUUACUGGACUGUAACUGACGUUGAGGCUCGAAGGCGUGGGGAGCAAACAGGAUUAGAUACCCCAUAGUC
rnacentral:rRNA from 1 species